GUCCUCACUUCUGUAGUACAUAUAACAAUACCAGAAUAUUACAAAGAAGAUUAGCAUAGUCCCUGUGCAAAAAUGACUCACAAAUUUAUAAAGUUGCCAUAUUUUU
ensembl:snRNA U6 U6 spliceosomal RNA